GCCGAAGUGGUGGAAUUGGUAGACACGCUAUCUUGAGGGGGUAGUGACCACAAGUCGUGCGAGUUCGAGUCUCGCCUUCGGCACCA
rnacentral:tRNA from 1 species